GAUGAACGCUGGCGGCGUGCCUAAUACAUGCAAGUCGAGCGAACAGACGAGGAGGUUGCUCCUCUGACGUUAGCGGCGGACGGGUGAGUAACACGUGGAUAACCUACCUAUAAGACUGGGAUAACUUCGGGAAACCGGAGCUAAUACCGGAUAAUAUAUUGAACCGCAUGGUUCAAUAGUGAAAGACGGUUUUGCUGUCACUUAUAGAUGGAUCCCCGCCGCAUUAUCUAGUUGGUAAUGUAACGGCUUACCAAGGAAACGAUGCGUAGCCGACCUGAAAGGGGGUCCGCCCACCUGGGAAUGGGACAAGGGCCAAGCCUCCUCGGGGAGGCAGCAGUAGGGAAUUUUCCGCAAUGGGCGAAAGCUUGCCGGAGCAACGCCGCGUGAGUGAUGAAGGUCUUCGGAUCGUAAACCUCUUUUAUUAGGGAAGAACAAAUGUGUAAGUAACUAUGCACGUCUUGACGGUACCUAAUCAGAAAGCCACGGCUAACUACGUG
rnacentral:rRNA from 1 species